rnacentral:lncRNA from 1 species
AUGGCUAACGUUAGCUGGGAUAUUCGACUCAUGUCGACCAGAGUUGUCAUCGUCCUCCCUGGUGGUUUCUCUGGCCACUAUCCCAUUCCCAAAUGGAUGAUAAGCAUGGAGUACGUUCUUAGUGUGUGGACUACACACCCCCACUCUACAGGCAGGAGACCACACCCUCCUAUCAGUACAGGUGAGAUUAAGCUAUAAUGCAUUCAUACAGUGCCUUCGGAAAGUACCCCCUUCCCUUUUCCCACAUUUUGUUGUGUUACAGCUGGGGAUGCAUGAUAUAUCGGAAUUUAGUUCAACGCCGAAGUUAAAAACCGAUGUUAAAGCUACCGUGCAUACCUAUAUAACGUAGGUACAUGAUGUAAUGACGCCACGUAGAAUUUUGCGCUACAAGUGCCACACAGCAUUCCUAACCUAGCCCACAAUGUCUGCUGUGUGGAUCGAGCAGUCAACAAGUCGAGCAGUCAUUUGAAAGAGUAAGAACAUUUCAGUGAGACAACUCAAAAGGCAAACUCCAUUAACGUCAAGAUAAUGUAAUUCAUUGCCCUUGACAAUCAACCGUUCUCUCGUGGGUGAUGUUGGCUUUCGCCCACUGGUCGAGCUCCGGUACACACCACCUAGUGCACUAUUUUUCAGAUGUUGCCCUACUGGAGUUACACAGUAAUAGCGUCACUGCUAUUGGCUUCUCAACAUACAGUACAUACUAUGGAACGCUGUUUGGGUCUUUGCGUGUAAAAAGAUAGUUGCACUGUCAAAGCUGUACAAAAAAGUCUGCAAACAAGCAAACCCCGGACACGAACAAUGUGUAAACAAUACCGUGUUGGUAAUAAAGCAUCAUUUGUUUGACCACAACUUCUAGGGGAGAUAGCUAUAUACCAAGCUAAGGCUAACACCAAUACAACCAGCCUGAAAACAAUGACCAGUAGAAACUGCAGUAAUUUGCUGCUGGUGAUUCUCUGAUCCACCUUUACGCAGAUGACACCAUUCUGUAUACUUCUGGCCCUUCUUUGGACACUGUUAACAAACCUCCAAACGAGCUUCAAUGCCAUAUAACACUCCUUCCGUGGCCUCCAUAUGCUCUUAAACGCUAGUUAAUGCAUGCUCUUCAACCGAUUGCUGCCCGCCCGACUAGCAUCACUACUCUGAAAGGUUCUGACUUAGAAUAUGUGGACAACUACAAAUACCUAGGUGUCUGGCUAGACUGAAAACUCUCCUUCCAGACUCACAUAAAGCAUCUCCAAUCUAGAAUUGGAUUCCUAUUUCGCAAAACAAAGCCUCCUUCACUCAUGCUGCUAAACAUACCCUCGUAAAACUGACUAUCCUUGACUUCGGCGAUGUAAUUUACAAAAUAGCCUCC